rnacentral:rRNA from 1 species
AGUGAACGCUGGCGGUAGGCCUAACACAUGCAAGUCGAACGGCAGCACAGUAAGAGCUUGCUCUUACGGGUGGCGAGUGGCGGACGGGUGAGGAAUACAUCGGAAUCUACUUUUUCGUGGGGGAUAACGUAGGGAAACUUACGCUAAUACCGCAUACGACCUACGGGUGAAAGCAGGGGAUCUUCGGACCUUGCGCGAUUGAAUGAGCCGAUGUCGGAUUAGCUAGUUGGCGGGGUAAAGGCCCACCAAGGCGACGAUCCGUAGCUGGUCUGAGAGGAUGAUCGGCCACACUGGAACUGAGACGCGGACCAGACUCCUACGGGACGCAGCAGUGGGGAAUAUUAGACAAUGGGCGCAAGCCUGAUCCAGCCAUACCGCGUGGGUGAAGAAGGCCUUCGGGUUGUAAAGCCCUUUUGUUGGGAAAGAAAAGCAGCAGGUUAAUACCCCGCUGUUCUGACGGUACCCAAAGAAUAAGCACCGGCUAACUUCGUG